AAAUAAAAAUACCUAAUUCGCAAUGAAUUUAAUUGCAAUCGGCACAAUAUAUUAUUAUGUAUUGGGGACACAACAACAAAUUAUCCCAUCGCGGUGUAGUCGUGUAAAGAUUAAAAGUAAAUUUUAUAAUCAUGGAUACGACGUAUUCGCCGCGAUGUAUAUAAUAUCUUGUUGAUGUUAUAGACGGAUAAAAGACAUUAUCGUUUAAAAAUGCAUUCAAACAUCAAUUUAAAUAACAAAUUACUGACGUUUUUUUUGUAAAAUAUACGUCUAUAACCUAAGCAAAACCGUUAAAGAAAAUAUAAUUGCUUUAGAUAUUUACACAUUUUAACCGUAGGAACAAUAAAUUGACGUUUUGUCGUAUAUGUGAAACAUAAUAUUAUUUUAUACCCCAUAAAUUACGCAAAAUUAUUGAAUUAAAUUUAUUACACGUUCCAGUAAUUUUCUAAACGUAGUAUACAUCACUGUAAUUAAUAUGAAAUUGUUUUUUACUAUGACAUGGUUUUUAUAAAAUGUCAUAUAUAAUAUUAUAUUCCUACAGUUUUAAUGUCAUCGGCUGUACAGUAAUCAGAUAAUAAUCUGUCAUUAAGUCAUUUACUAGACCUAGCUGUCCUCGAUUCGAUAAUCAUUAAAAUGGAUAUAACACGAAACAUUGUCAAGGUUUUAAUGUAGGUAUAAUCCAAAUAUUCCUAA